UCCUCUGUCGUUCAGUCGGUAGAACGGCGGACUGUUAAUCCGUGUGUCGCUGGUUCGGGUCCGCUCAGAGAACCA
rnacentral:tRNA from 15 species